rnacentral:rRNA from 1 species
UACGGAGGGUGCAAGCGUUAUCCGGAUUUACUGGGCGUAAAGGAUGCGUAGGUGGAUGUUUAAGUCAGAUGUGAAAUACCCGAGCUUAACUUGGGUGCUGCAUUUGAAACUGGAUAUCUAGAGUGCAGGAGAGGUAAGUGGAAUUCCUAGUGUAGCGGUGAAAUGCGUAGAGAUUAGGAAGAACACCAGUGGCGAAGGCGACUUACUGGACUGUAACUGACACUGAGGCAUGAAAGCGUGGGUAGCAAACAGG